AUAGGCCAUGUCUGCCCUCAAACCAUGAAGAAGGCAUCCUGGUCAUCACCAAGAAGUACUACAUUCACCUGGGCAGCAACUUCCACACACACACACAAGCAUGAGUGCAAGGAGAUCACCAUCAUUCCUGGCAGGAAGCUCUGCAGCCAGACAGCAGGCUAUGCUAUGUACCCGAUGAAGCAGAUUCAAGAGGCCCAGGGAGAGCCAGCUCCAUGAGUUUGCUGGAGGAGGGAGAAAGAAGAGAGAAUUCUGUUUGUGAGGUCUCAGCCUGGGUGGAGAGAUCACUGAAGCAGAUCCUGACACUAAGGACAUGCUGAAGCUUCUGGGCUUCAGCAGUCUAUCCAACCUGCAGGUCACUCAGCCUGCAGUUGGGAUGAAUUUCAAAACGCCUCAUGGAGCUGUUUGA
rnacentral:lncRNA from 1 species